CUCACUUCUCAGCCUUUUGGCUAAAAUCAAGUGAAGUAUCUGUUCUUAUCAGAUAAAUAUCUGAUACGACCUCGAUGAGAGGACUUUAUUUUUUGGGAGUUGGACUGAAUGAUCUCUAGAGGUGUCUUCCAACCCUUAACAUUCUGUGAGUCCGUGAUACUAGUUCUGAAACUUCU
rnacentral:snRNA from 1 species